AAGAAAUUAGUUAAAUAAUAACAUUAAAAUGUCAAAUUAAAAUUACCAUAAAGGUAUUUCUUG
rnacentral:tRNA from 1 species